rnacentral:rRNA from 1 species
CCUACGGGUGGCAGCAGUGGGGAAUAUUGCACAAUGGGGGAAACCCUGAUGCAGCGACGCCGCGUGAGUGAAGAAGGAAUUCGUUAUGUAAAGCUCUAUCAGCAGGGAAGAAAAUGACGGUACCUGAGUAAGAAGCCCCGGCGAACGACGUGCCAGCAGCCGCGGUAAGACGUAGGGGGCAAGCGUUAUCCGGAUUUACGGGGUGUAAAGGGAGCGUAGCCGGCAGUGCAAGUCUGGAGUGAAAGGCGGGGGCGCCACCCCCGGACUGCUCUGGAAACUGUACGGCUGGAUUGCAGGAGGGGUACGUGGACUUCCUAGUGUAGCGGUGAAAUGCGUCGAUAUUAGGAGGAACACCAGUGGCGAAGGCGGCUUACUGUACUGUAACUGACGUUGAGGCUCGAACGCGUGGGGAGCAAACAGGAUUAGAUACCCGUGUAGUC